AGCCCCUCCAUGUCUCCCAGGCUACUUUGUUCUCUGCAGUUGUGGUUGUCACAGCGGAGCCCCACAGCCAGCUUUCUGUAGAUACUGAGGUCUAGAUUGCACCCCAGACCACUGAAAUUAGGAUCCCAUGGAGUAGGACUUUGUAUUGUAAUUUAUGAGCUCCCCAGGUGACUCUAAUGGUCGUGGGGGCUGAGCACCACGGGUCUGCAAGACGCAGGUCAGAACCUGACCUCUGGCUGGGCUGGGCAGAGCAGAGGGUUGCUACUUCCUUGUUUCCCCAUCUCCAGCCUCAGACACCGUAGGUCUCUUUCCUGCCACACAGCUAGAUGUCUGCCUUGCAUGGUACUGGCGAUAACUCACUGGUUCAGCUAGAGGCUUUGGAUUCCAGUUUACUCGUAAACAUUACUGCACAAACUGCAUCCCAUGUUUAGAAAAACGUCAAAGGAAGCCUUCCGUCCUCGCCAGCACCCGGGAAAAGCAGCUCCCUUACAGUGCAGGCAUUGAAGGUAUCCUUGGAAAGCCUCAGGAACUGGGUCUGAAUUUCUACCAGCCCAGGCUCCAUAAAGGUGCUCAGGAAACAUACUCGUUGGCUGCACAAAGAGAUGAAGGAUGAGCUGUGCGGUCUCACAAACCCACCAUUCAUAGCACAAACUGGCAAGAGCCAGCAGGGAGAGGAAAACAAAGUGUGCCUGGGUGUCUCCACAAGAUCUCCGGAAACAAGUGUCCUGGACCCCCAGGGGUGCCUGCGCCUCACUUUGAGAACAGCUGCCUUACAAGGGCACUUUGGUGAGCCUGGUGUCUAAGAGCCUCACUCUGCAAGGGUGCAGAGAGGAACAGAAAGGACACUAAUACAAAUUCAACUCAUGGUUGGGUUUCCAUUCUUGUGAUUAAUACGUGUUAUUUGGAAUAAAAAAUGCAAAACACUCAUGCACCCA